rnacentral:rRNA from 1 species
AUUGAACGCUGGCGGCAGGCCUAACACAUGCAAGUCGAGCGGAGCGGCGGACGGGUGGGUAAUGCCUAGGAAUCUGCCUUGUAGUGGGGGAGAACGUCCGGAUACGGGCGCUAAUACCGCAUCCCAGCAGAUGAGCCUAGGUUGGAUUAGAUAGUUGGUGGGGUAAAGGCCUACCAAGGCGACGAUCCGUAACUGGUCUGAGAGGAUGAUCAGGCAACCUGGACCUGAGCACCGCUCCAGACUCCUAGGGGAGGCACCAGUGGGGAAUUUUGGACAUUGGGCGAAAGCUUAACCCAGCCCUGCGGCGUGUGGAAAGAAGGUCUUCGAAUUUUAAAGUCCUUUAAUUGGGAAGACGUUACCUACCGAAUAAGCACCGGCUAACUUCGUGCCAGCAGCCGCGGUAAUAC